rnacentral:lncRNA from 1 species
AGCUUGCACCUUUGUGUAUGCGUGUUCGGCCAGCACAUGGUUAGGCACAGUCGGAAAUGCGAACAAUAGUGCUCAAGAUGGCACAUGCAACGCUAUGCAGCUGUGGACACCAGCAGCUUGAUAAAAACUCUUCAAGCUCAUCUGGAAGCUCCACAGAACCUGGGAAGACUGAACACUUUUGGCAAAGCAGCAACAGUUCUGGCCCACCUGUUUGCCUUCAAGACCGUCUCUUCUGUGAACACUUCUGUGCCUUACAGUAUACUAUACAGAUAACCUUGUACAUCUCUCAAUAUUUAGGAUUGUGAGCACUUGGACUGCUGCACUGUGUUAUGCACGGUGCUGAAUCCAAACUUUCCAAUAACAGUGUGCAUUUGAAAAUGUUGCAUGGCUUGAAAAGAUGCUGAGUGUAAACUCAUUUAAUUUACUAAGCGUGAUUCUUGAGUGUUUUGCAGUCAUUAUUUAUUCCCUGUUCAAUUUUUAUUCCACCUCAUGGCAUGUCCAGUCCUUGGCUCUUAUGUGCCAAGCCACCAUCAGUAUUGAUAGGCAAUUUUUCAUUCAAAGCAUUCUAUUGCCUAACUCCGAAGUAAUUUUCCUGUCACGGUAUUCGGAUUGAUCUUCAAUGUGAUACUUUUGCAUGAGCCAUAAAUUGAGCUAUUGAAAGUGACGAGGAACUACCUUUCCGGUCGCAUUUGAUGGCACUAGCUGGCAUGUAAAUAUUGUAACCGUUGGUCUGUUACUUAUGCAUAAUAAUACGGGUAAAUAGGGUUGUGAAGUAAUGCCAUGUUGCCAAGCUUAACCUUAUAAAUUUACAUUAUUUCUUUAAAAUAUGUGAAUAAAGACGACUGUG